AUGCGGUUCACGGCGGGGGGCUCGUCGACGCGGUCGUGGCAGCCCAAGCCGACGGCGGACACCACGGACCUGCGCUUCUGGCUGACCUGGCGGGUGGCGGUGUGCGCGCUCUGGGUGCUCUGCUGCGUCGCCGCCGCGGCCUACCUCAUCUGGCGCCACGAGGGGCCCCGCGCGCACCGCCGGCCCGGAGCCGCCAAGCAGGACGCGGCAGCGCAGCAAGGGCGGCGCCGGCCGGACGGGCUGCUGUACGACGACGAAGCGUGGCGGCCCUGCCUCCGCGACAUCCACCCGGCCUGGCUGCUCGCCUACAGGCUCGUCUCCUUCUUCGUCCUCUUCAGCCUCCUCAUCGUCAUCGUCAUCUCCGACGGCGGCAACAUCUUCUACUACUACACCCAGUGGACCUUCAUUCUGGUGACGGUUUACUUCGGGCUUGCGACGACGCUUUCGAUCUACGGGUGCAGCAAGUUCGCCGCCUGCAAUGCCGUCGCGGCGAUGUCCGACGCCGAGCAGGGGCCCUACGCCAUCCACGGGGCCGCCCCGAAGUCGAUCGUCGACGGGGAGGACGACGGCACGAGGGAGAUCGCCGGGUUCUGGGGGUACCUUCUGCAGAUCAUCUAUCAGGUGAAAGAGACAAAUGCAGGGGCCGUGAUGCUUACAGACUGCGUCUUUUGGUUCAUCAUUUUCCCAUUCCUGACCGUCAAAGAUUACAGUAUGAACUUUUUACUGAUAGGAAUGCACUCAGUCAACGCUGUUUUCUUGCUCGGCGAAGCAUCUCUAAAUAGCCUGCGCUUCCCGUGGUUCCGGAUCGCGUAUUUCUUCCUUUAUACAGCGCUAUACGUUGUUUUCCAGUGGAUCGUCCAUGCAUCUACUCCAACCUGGUGGCCCUACCCGUUCCUCGACCUCUCCUCUAAUCUCGCGCCUCUGUGGUACUUUGCGGUCGCGUUCAUGCAACUGCCCUGCUACCUGAUCUUCAGACUGGUGAUGAACCUGAAACACCACCUUCUCUCCAAGCAUUUCCUGGAUAGCAUGGUCCUAGGAUAUUAG
rnacentral:rRNA from 1 species